UAAUCGUACGUAGCCAUCAAAAUUACCCUUUUAAGAAACUUCUGACCGCCGACACUCACUAACCUAACAACAAAGUCAUCGCCUCCUUCCUUUGAUCCUCUCCCUCCCAAAACCCCCAAUUUCUCUUCCUUCUCUGUAAUUCAUCCAAUUUUCUGCUAUGGCGACGAUUCCACACAACAAUCUUAAUGCUAAAUUGGUACUUCUUGGUGAUAUGGGAGCUGGAAAAUCCAGCGUCGUUCUUCGUUUCGUCAAAGGUCAAUUUCUCGAAUUUCAGGAAUCAACUAUUGGAGCCGCCUUUUUCUCGCAGACAUUAGCAGUGAAUGAUGCCACAGUUAAGUUUGAGAUAUGGGAUACUGCUGGUCAAGAGAGAUACCAUAGUUUAGCACCUAUGUAUUAUAGAGGCGCUGCUGCUGCAAUUAUCGUCUUUGACAUUACGAAUUCGGAGUCUUUUUCUCGUGCUAAGAAGUGGGUACAGGAACUUCAGAAGCAAGGAAAUCCCAACAUGGUCAUGGCACUUGCAGGAAAUAAAGCUGAUUUGGAAGAAAGGAGGAUGGUUUCAGCUGAAGAGGCAUGUAAGUACGCUGAAGAGAAUGGCCUUUUCUUUAUGGAAACAUCAGCAAAAACAGCUCAGAAUGUUAAUGAAAUAUUCUAUGAAAUAGCUAAAAGAUUACCAAGAGCUCAACCGCCCCAGAAUCCAGCUGGAAUGGUUCUGGUUGACCGGCAGGGAGAAGGGGCCAAAGCUUCAUCAUGCUGUUCUUAGGCAUUCAGCACAGAGCCUUAGCCCUUAAUUCAUGUACGUUGGUCAUACCAUAAGGAACAGGCGUGUUUCAGGAUUUCCGAAAGGCGUCAUUUUAUCUGUGUCUUUAUUUGUAAAUAGGUGUGGACUUUGUUUUUUUUACUAAACUUGUUUUUAUUGUUACCGCAAAAAAUUAUUAUUAUUAUCAAAAUUAUUGUUAUUAUUCCCGUUUUUAUAUCUCAAUAGAUAACUCGUUAACGA